GCAGGGACGUCUGUAGUCUUAUUAGCAGUCGGUUGUCAUGUGGUCUUUUACUGCUUUAUCUAAAUUGUCAAUGGAAAAAGGAACUGCACACGUCAUACAUCAAUUAAUUAUUAUUAAACGAAUUAUACUAAUGGAAUUAAUACCAUUAACUAUUAAGACGUAAUUGUAACUUAAAAUUCAAUUGAUCCGUCUAUACCUGCAUAAUUUAUACCUACGAUUAGAGCCCAAAUUUAAAUGCACUAAUAACUAGUGCUGAGCAAUACGCUGACCAAU